UACGAAGGGGGCUAGCGUUGCUCGGAAUUACUGGGCGUAAAGCGCACGUAGGCGGAUUGUUAAGUCGGGGGUGAAAUCCUGGAGCUCAACUCCAGAACUGCCUUCGAUACUGGCGAUCUCGAGUUCGGGAGAGGUGAGUGGAACUGCGAGUGUAGAGGUGAAAUUCGUAGAUAUUCGCAAGAACACCCGUGGCGAAGGCGGUUCUCUGGGACGGUACUGACGCUGAGACGCGAAAGCGUGGGGAGCAAACAGG
rnacentral:rRNA from 1 species